GAUAUACUUCCUCCGUUCCGAAUUACUUGUCUUAUAUUUGUCUAAAUACGGAUAUAUCUAGCAUUAAAAUGAGUCUAGAUACAUCCGUAUCUAGAUAAAUCCAAGAUAAGUAAUUCGGAACGGAGGGAGUAUAUG
rfam:Triticum aestivum genome assembly, contig: Triticum_aestivum_CS42_TGACv1_scaffold_569141_7AS